rnacentral:rRNA from 1 species
UGGGGAAUUUUGGACAAUGGGCGCAAGCCUGAUCCAGCAAUGCCGCGUGCAGGAUGAAGGCCUUCGGGUUGUAAACUGCUUUUGUACGGAGCGAAAAGGUCUGCCCUAAUACGGUGGGCUCAUGACGGUACCGUAAGAAUAAGCACCGGCUAACUACGUGCCAUCAGCCGCGGUAAUACGUAGGGUGCGAGCGUUAAUCGGAAUUACUGGGCGUAAAGCGUGCGCAGGCGGUUUAGUAAGACAGGCGUGAAAUCCCCGGGCUCAACCUGGGAACUGCGCUUGUGACUGCUAAGCUAGAGUACGGCAGAGAGGGGUGGAAUUCCACGUGUGGCAGUGAAAUGCGUAGAGGUGUGGAGGAACACCAACGGCGAGGGCAAUCCCCUGGGCCUGUACUGACGCUCAUGCACGAAAGCGUAGGGAGCAAACA